rfam:Trichuris suis scaffold66.11, whole genome shotgun sequence.
CCUCAGAUUACCCUGAAUUCUGAUGUGUGCUUGACAGUCAUUAGAGCUCUAGCACCAUUUGAAUUCAGUUCAUCUGAAG